rnacentral:rRNA from 1 species
UCAGGAUGAACGCUGGCGGUCUGCUUAACACAUGCAAGUCGAACGAAUCCCUUCGGGGAUUAGUGGCGGACGGGUGAGUAACGCGUGAGAAUCUAGCUUGUGGAUGGGGACAACCACGGGAAACGGUGGCUAAUACCCAAUGUGCCAUUAGGUGAAAGAUUAAUUGCCACAAGAAGAGCUCGCGUCUGAUUAGCUAGUUGGUGAGGUAAAGGCUCACCAAGGCAGCGAUCAGUAGCUGGUCUGAGAGGAUGACCAGCCACACUGGGACUGAGACACGGCCCAGACUCCUACGGGAGGCAGCAGUGGGGAAUUUUCCGCAAUGGGCGCAAGCCUGACGGAGCAAGACCGCGUGAGGGAGGAAGGCUCUUGGGUUGUAAACCUCUUUUCUCAGGGAAGAACACAAUGACGGUACCUGAGGAAUCAGCCUCGGCUAACUCCGUGCCAGCAGCCGCGGUAAUACGGAGGAGGCAAGCGUUAUCCGGAAUUAUUGGGCGUAAAGCGUCCGCAGGUGGCUUGUCAAGUCUGCUGUCAAAGGUCAAGGCUUAACCUUGAAAAGGCAGUGGAAACUGACGAGCUAGAGGGCUCUAGGGGUAGAGGGAAUUC